rnacentral:lncRNA from 1 species
AUGCACCCUCUAAUACUGCAGAGAUUCCGUUGCCUGAAAGAACAAACAUCAGCCUUGGUCGAUGCUCCGUUCCCAUGGAGACAGAGGUUCCAUUUCAGGGAAAUAUUAAAGCAGAAAUUUCAAAGGGACUUCAGAAAAUGCGUAAAGCACCUCAGUAAAGAAACAAGUAUGCAGGAAAUGAGCAAAGGAGAUGGUAUAAGGAGUACAGCAGCGAGAAGAGGCACUGGAUUACUAAAAAUACUUCUAUUUUCGUCUUCAGAUCUCACUGGAACCAAGUUUGGGAGACAAGUUUCCACAACACAGUCGUUAUUGCUAUUAAAAAGUGAGGAUCACACCUACGCUGUCUGA